rnacentral:rRNA from 1 species
AGGCAGCAGUGGGGAAUAUUGCGCAAUGGGCGAAAGCCUGACGCAGCAACGCCGCGUGCGGGAUGACGGCCUUCGGGUUGUAAACCGCUUUCAGCAGGGACGAAACUGACGGUACCUGCAGAAGAAGCACCGGCUAACUACGUGCCAGCAGCCGCGGUGAUACGUAGGGUGCGAGCGUUGUCCGGAAUUAUUGGGCGUAAAGAGCUCGUAGGCGGUCUGUCGCGUCGGAAGUGAAAACUCGGGGCUCAACCCCGAGCCUGCUUUCGAUACGGGCAGACUUGAGGAAUGUAGGGGAGAACGGAAUUCCUGGUGGAGCGGUGGAAUGCGCUAGAUAUCAGGAGGAACACCAGUGGCGAAGGCGGUUCUCUGGACAUUAACUGACGCUGAGGAGCGAAAGCGUGGGGAGCAAACAGGAUUAGAUACCCCGGUAG